rnacentral:misc_RNA from 1 species
UUGCGGUAGGGGGUGAAGUGGAAAGCCCGCAAGCGAAGUAUGAGUGCGGACUUGUAGCGGAACACCCGACGGCAA